UACGUAGGGGACUAGCGUUGUUCGGAAUUACUGGGCGUAAAGGGCGCGUAGGCGGCCCUGUCAGUCGGGUGUGAAAGCCCGGGGCUCAACCCCGGAACGGCACCCGAGACGGCAGGGCUGGAGACCGGGAGAGGAGGGUGGAAUAGCCAGUGUAGAGGUGAAAUUCGUAGAUAUUGGCUGGAACACCGGUGGCGAAAGCGGCUCUCUGGCCCGGUUCUGACGCUGAGGCGCGAAAGCGUGGGGAGCAAACAGG
rnacentral:rRNA from 1 species